GGGGAGUGAAAUAGAACCUGAAACCCUGCACUUACAAGCUGUGGAAGCACAUUUCUUGUGUGACCGCGUACUUUUUGUAGAACGGGCCAACGAGUUACGUUAAGUAGCAAGGUUAAGCACUUAAGGUUCGGAGCCGUAGCGAAAGCGAGUUUUAACUGAGCGUUCAGUUACUUGACGUAGACCCGAAACCGGGCGACCUACCCAUG
rnacentral:rRNA from 1 species